CCCCCGCCCGAUAGAAAAGACUCAGAGUAAAAGAGGCAUUUGGAAACCAGUAAGUUUAGAAGACAGAAGAGAAUUCAUGUUUUCCAGACCAUUUCACCGGACUGAAUAGAGCUCACAGUGUUUGUGUGAGUCAUGUAAAAUCAAGAGAUUCUCCAUCCUAAGAGGAAUGUGAUCAACGAUCUUCAUCACCAGUCAAGUUAUGCCUGUGGACAAGAUUUUAGUAAAAUCUACAGUGUUCCCUGAGAUCUGCAUGGGAACCUUCUGUUACUGAGAGAGAUCAGAGAUCCCAGGUUCUGUUCAGACCCAGGUGUUUGAUAAACAUGAAGCUGGAAACUCAACACCACCUGAAGAGGGCAAGUUGAGGUCCACAUUCAUUCAGUCUGAGGGAGAGGACGGGGAUGAUUUACUGAAACUAUGACUACCUCAGACCUUGACGCAGACACCCAAACACACAGGCGUGAUGAAGACUCUGUCAACAUCUAGGUUUAGUUUUUUUUCAGCUGAGUUUUUAAUGGUGUAAAUGGAAAAACUUCAUAUGGCGGUACAGAUUACUACAGCUGCUUUUGCAUUCUUACAGAUGGCCACACAUUAAACAGGCAGAGCUUCCUCAAAUAGAGUAUAAAGAGCCAGUGUAUAUGCAGUUCAUCUGAUUGAAACAUUUCAUGGUUAUGUUAUUCCCCUGAGGAUAUGUUGUCCAGUUCUGUUAUAGGCCUCUCUAAUUGGCGGGUGAAUCUCACGAAUUUCUGAAUC